ACAGAGGUGGCAAGCGUUGUUCGGAAUCACUGGGCUUAAAGCGUGUGUAGGCGGACCAGAAAGUGUCUUGUGAAAUCCCUCGUCUCAACCGAGGAACUGCUCGGCAAACUACUGGUCUUGAGGUAGGCAUGGGUGCUUGGAACUCUUGGUGGAGCGGUGAAAUGCGUAGAUAUCAAGAGGAACGCCUGUGGUGAAAACGGAGCACUUGACCUAUUCUGACGCUGAGACACGAAAGCGUGGGGAGCGAACGG
rnacentral:rRNA from 1 species